rnacentral:rRNA from 1 species
UACAGAGGUCUCAAGCGUUGUUCGGAUUCAUUGGGCGUAAAGGGUGCGUAGGCGGCGGGGCAAGUCGGAUGUGAAAUUUCGGAGCUUAACUCCGAAACUGCAUUCGAUACUGCGGUGCUUGAGGACUGGAGAGGAGACUGGAAUUCAUGGUGUAGCAGUGAAAUGCGUAGAGAUCAUGAGGAAGACCAGUGGCGAAGGCGGGUCUCUGGACAGUUCCUGACACUGAGGAGCGAAAGCGUGGGGAGCAAACAGG